rnacentral:rRNA from 1 species
GACGAACGCUGGCGGCGUGCUUAACACAUGCAAGUCGAACGAUGAAGCGGUGCUUGCACCGUGGAUUAGUGGCGAACGGGUGAGUAAUACGUGAGUGACCUACCUUUGACUCUGGGAUAAGCCUGGGAAACUGGGUCUAAUACCGGAUACGACCAAUCUCUGCAUGGGGUGUUGGUGGAAAGCGUUAUGGAGUGGUUUUAGAUGGGCUCACGGCCUAUCAGCUUGUUGGUGAGGCAAUGGCUUACCAAGGCGACGACGGGUAGCCGGCCUGAGAGGGUGACCGGCCACACUGGGACUGAGACACGGCCCAGACUCCUACGGGAGGCAGCAGUGAGGAAUAUUGCACAAUGGGCGCAAGCCUGAUGCAGCGACGCCGCGUGAGGGAUGACGGCCUUCGGGUUGUAAACCUCUGUUAGCAUCGAAGAAGCGAAAGUGACGGUAGGUGCAGAGAAAGCGCCGGCUAACUACGUGCCAGCAGCCGCGGUAAUACGUAGGGCGCGAGCGUUGUCCGGAAUUAUUGGGCGUAAAGAGCUUGUAGGCGGUUGGUCGCGUCUGCUGUGAAGGCCGGGGCUUAAUUCCGGUUUUGCAGUGGGUACGGGCUAACUAGAGUGCAGUAGGGGAGACUGGAAUUCCUGGUGUAGCGGUGGAAUGCACAGAUAUCAGGAGGAACACCGAUGGCGAAGGCAGGUCUCUGGGCUGUAACUGACGCUGAGAAGCGAAAGCAUGGGGAGCGAACAGGAUUAGAUACCCUGGUAGUCCAUGCCGUAAACGUUGGGCACUAGGUGUGGGGGACAUUCCACGUUUUCCGCGCCGUAGCUAACGCAUUAAGUGCCCCGCCUGGGGAGUGCGGCCGCAAGGCUAAAACUCAAAGGAAUUGACGGGGGCCCGCACAAGCGGCGGAGCAUGCGGAUUAAUUCGAUGCAACGCGAAGAACCUUACCAAGGCUUGACAUGCAUUAGAUCGCAUCAGAGAUGGCGUUUCCCUUCGGGGCUGGUGUACAGGUGGUGCAUGGUUGUCGUCAGCUCGUGUCGUGAGAUGUUGGGUUAAGUCCCGCAACGAGCGCAACCCUCGUUCUAUGUUGCCAGCGGUUCGGCCGGGGACUCAUAGGAGACUGCCGGGGUCAACUCGGAGGAAGGUGGGGAUGACGUCAAAUCAUCAUGCCCCUUAUGUCUUGGGCUUCACGCAUGCUACAAUGGCCGGUACAGAGGGUUGCGAUACUGUGAGGUGGAGCUAAUCCCUUAAAGCCGGUCUCAGUUCGGAUUGGGGUCUGCAACUCGACCCCAUGAAGUCGGAGUCGCUAGUAAUCGCAGAUCAGCAACGCUGCGGUGAAUACGUUCCCGGGCCU